rnacentral:rRNA from 1 species
AAUCAACGCUGGCGGCGUGCCUAACACAUGCAAGUCGCACGAGAAAGGGACUUCGGUCCUGAGUACAGUGGCGCACGGGUGAGUAACACGUGAAUCAUCUACCUUCGAGUGGGGAAUAACUGAGAGAAAUCUUAGCUAAUACCGCAUAAUACCUACGGGUCAAAGCAGCAAUGCGCUUGAAGAGGAGUUCGCGGCAGAUUAGUUAGUUGGCAGGGUAAUGGCCUACCAAGACGAUGAUCUGUAUCCGGCCUGAGAGGGCGCACGGACACACUGGAACUGAAACACGGUCCAGACUCCUACGGGAGGCAGCAGUGGGGAAUUUUGCGCAAUGGGGGAAACCCUGACGCAGCAACGCCGCGUGGAGGAUGAAAUCCCUUGGGAUGUAAACUCCUUUCGAUCGGGAAGAUAAUGACGGUACCGAGAGAAGAAGCCCCGGCUAACUUCGUGCCAGCAGCCGCAGUAAU